AUUAGCCAGAGUUACAUGGUGAAGCCCAGUUUUGUUUUGUUUUGUUUUUGAGACAGGGUUUCUCUGUGUAGCCCUGGCUGUC
ensembl:miRNA Mir5098 microRNA 5098